rnacentral:rRNA from 1 species
GAUGAACGCUAGCGGCAGGCCUAAUACAUGCAAGUCAAGGGGCCCAGCAAUGGGCACCGGCGGACGGGUGCGUAACGCGUACACAACAUACCUUUAAGUGGGGGAUAGCAUUGGGAAACUGGUGGUAAUACCCCAUAAUAAUAUUGGGAGGCAUUUUCUGAUAUUUAAAGCUACGGCGCUUAGAGAUUGGUGUGCGUCCGAUUAGCUAGUUGGCAGGGUAACGGCCUACCAAGGCGACGAUCGGUAGGGGGUGUGAGAGCAUGACCCCCCACACGGGUACUGAGACACGGACCCGACUCCUACGGGAGGCAGCAGUAAGGAAUAUUGGACAAUGGAGGGAACUCUGAUCCAGCCAUGCCGCGUGAAGGAUGAAGGCGCUCAGCGUUGUAAACUUCUUUUGGAUGGGAACAAUAACUUCUACGAGUAGGAGCUUGAGGGUACCAUCAGAAUAAGCACCGGCUAACUCCGUGCCAGCCGCCGCUGUAAUAC